GCGAAUUAAAAAGAUUGAAAAUCAGAAGGUUGUUGUAUGAAUGAAGAGUGACAGAAGCCAAGAAAUGGGGUUUUAUAAGUGGGAAAAUGUUACUAGCAAUAAGUUACUAUAUUAAAGACCUAACCAUAAACGAGUAUCCAUCUAAUCACAACUUAUUACACUACCAUCAAAGCCUAGAGGAAAAUUAAAUAUCUUGAUGUUUUCAUUAAAAUCAAACUUCACUUUAUUCAUAUAUAGUUCACAUCAAACUAAACUAAGUGUUAAACAUGAGAACUAUUCUUCUAACUUUUGCAUUUCAGUUGAGAACAAACUAAACUCAUAUCACGCAAAUCAAUUCCAUUUCAGCUACCAGGUUACAUAAUUAAUGCUCAAAGACACAAGUACAAGGAAACCACACAUCACUCAAUGAAUUCUCAAGCAAUACCCGAAGUUCUGUCAUUCUAUUAUUUUCAAAAAAUAAAUCCAAACACUCAAUGCAAAAUUCAAAACCACAUCAAAGAAAGAAUGGUGAAGACCAUUGAAAUCAAAUAAAUAACAAGGGUUUUAAAAAUAUUUGGAAUGCUGAAACACAUUUUCACCAAUGGGUUUUUUAAAAAAUCGUGAUCAAAGUUGCCAUCAAACACAUACAUACAGCAGACAUAGUUUCAAUUUAUUUGUAUUUAAGCGACAUUACAGUGUCUGUAAAUCAUGCUAUAUGACGAUAAAGAACAAGUCAACACAGUUACGAAAAUAAACCAAGAGAUCAAACACCAAUUUUAAUACCAAUCACCAAUUUUAAUACCAACCAAUCACGAACCUACAAUCACAUAUAUACGACCCUAAUUGUCAAUACCAAUCACCAAGCUCUAGCAAAAACCCUACCAUUCAAUCGACAGAAACCCUAAUUUUAACCCUAAAAAAAAUUAGGGUUACAUACAAUCAAAUCGACAAACGCAGACAGAGGAAUGAGAGAUACCUCGUUGACAAUCGAAUAGGCAGAGAGAUGGGUCGAAUCAGCUGUUCGUUCAAAUCGGGGAGAGAUCGAUGUUGACAGAGGUUCACGGCUUUGGUCUCGAUUCGAUAUGUGAGCGGUCUCGAUUCGAUAUGUGAGCGGUGGCUUCGAUAUGUGAGCGGUCUCGAUUCGGUAUGUGAGCGGCUCGAUUCGGUCUCUGAUCAGAGAUUGCCUCGACAGAGAGAUAACGGGAACACAGGAGAGAGCCAAGGGAGAAAAGAGAAGAAAGAAGAGAGAAUGGAGUUGAUUUGUUUUGCUCCCUCUCACGCGUCUUUCUUUCGGUCUCGCCGACGUGACACGUGCCUCCAGAAAGUGAAUAAAAACGUUUCUUAAUUAACAAACAAAAUCUGCGUUUAUAACCAUUUUUGAUUUAAAUUCACCCUUUUAAUUCUUAAGAAAUCUCGCUAUAUACAGCGAUGCUGUUGCUGAGCAUCAGCAAUGCUAGAAACUUUUUUUGUUUCUUAAGGUAAAAAGUAGGUUAAGAAACUUUGUUAAGAAACUUGAUUAGAAAUGAAGAUUAUUGGUAGAAACCUUUUUUGGUUCUUAGUUUUAAUUUUUAUUUUUUUAAUUAUUUGUGUAGCAAAUAAAACAUAUAACAUAGAUAAUUGAAAACAUAUAAGAGAGUACAAAGUUAAAAAAAAAGAUUACAAAGUUGAAAAAACAUGCAAAUUACAAUAUUUCUAUUCAACUCAUAAAAAGUUAAAUAAAAAAAGUUAUUAUUCAUCUCCAAAUUUAUCCCAUAGAUGUUCGAUCAAAUCAUGUUUUAGUUGUCUAUGGACUGGUCUAUCCCGAACUCUAGCUCGGCGAUCAAGUGCAUCGAAAAGCUCAGUAGGCAUCUUGACGCAAAAAGAAAUAUCCUGAUCGUGAAAUGUGUCAUCUCGAGUAUCCGUACGUUCUUCAUCUUCGACAAUCAUAUUAUGGAGUAUUAUACAAGCUCUCAUAAUUUUUGCUAUCUUCGAUUUACUCCAUAACUUUGAUGGAUUUUUGAUAACGGCGAAUCUAGCUUGCAGGACUCCGAAGGCACGCUCAACAUCUUUUCGGGCAGAUUCCUGUCUUUUUGCAAAUAAUGAAUCUUUUUCACCCUGUGGGAGACUAAUAGAUUUAAUAAAUGUCGCCCAUUCCGGGUAAAUACCAUCUGUAAGAUAAUAGGCCAAAUCGUACUCCCUGCCGUUGACAUUGUAAUUGACUUCGGGAGCAAUUCCGUUAAUAAUGUCAUCAAAAACAGGUGAUCGAUCAAGAAUAUUAAGAUCGUUCAUAGUACCUGGAGCUCCAAAAAAGGCGUGCCAUAUCCAGAGGUCAUAAGAAGCGACGGCCUCCAAGACAAUAGUUGGUUUAUCAGUUCCUCGGGAAUACAUACCUUUCCAAGAGGUGGGGCAAUUCUUCCACUCCCAGUGCAUACAGUCGAUACUUCCAAUCAUCCCGGGAAAUCCACGUUCUUCUCCCUUGUGUAGUAGCCUUUCAAGAUCGUCGGGUGUUGGACGUCUUAGGUACUCAUCGCUAAACAAGUCGAUGAUUGCGGCAGUAAAAUUGUGCAAGCAAUUCCGAGCUGUUGAUUCACCAAGUCGGACAUAUUCGUCCACCGUAUCAGCCCCACCCCCAUAUGCUAAUUGACGUAUUGCUGCUGUGCAUUUCUGGAGCGGUGAUAGACUACGCCUUCCGACUGCAUCUUCCGUUGCAGCAAAAUACUCCACUUCCGUAGAGAGGCGAUGCACAAUCCGCAUGAACAAUGACUUGCUCAUUCGAAACCGUCGGCGGAAUAUAUUGGAAGGAUAUGUAGGAGUUUCAGAAAAAUAAUCAUUCCAUAGCUGGAUGUCGCCUUCUUCCCGGUGUCUUUCAAUAAAAAUACGUUUUUUUCUGUUUUUGGGUUCGGACAACAUUUCGGGGAUUUCUAAUAAUUCUUCAAAUAGAGAUUCAAAUUCAGCAUCAUCUUCAUCAUUUUUAUGGUAAUGAUAAUGUGAUGAACCAGCCAUUUGAAAUGAAAAAAAAAACUUAGUUUUUAAUCUGAUUUUUAAGAGAGAUAGAAGACGGAUGAAGUUGUGUAGUAAAUGUGAUGAAGUUCUCUUCUACUUAUAGUGUGAUAGUGAGUAGAUAUUUUACUAGCCUAUAGGGGUCACGGAUUGCUUGUGACACGAGUUUGUUGUUCUGUUGGGAUAUAGGGGUCACGGGUUACUUGUGUACAAAAUUAAUACUUGCCGACAUCACAGCUUAUAAUACUUGUACAAAAACAGCUUGAUACAAUAAUACAAUAAUAUAACAUCCGAGCUUGUUACAAUAAUACAACAUCUCUUACAACAUCCCAUAGAACAUCCAAUACAACAUACAAUAAUACAUCAUUUCUCUCCUAAAAAACCGACCUCACCACCUAAACUGUUACUUAAACAUUACAACCAAACCUAUUGCCACAAGAAGAACGAACACUAAACCAACAACCAUGUCAAAUCUCUUGUUCAACCUAGAAUUCUUGUUACCUAGCUCAGAAACAAUCAACUCUAACUUAGCCACCUUCUGCUCUGUUUCAUAGUCACUCAUCAUGGUUAGAGAGUCAACCUUUUCAGCGAGCUCAAGAGUGUGUCUAUCCCUUGCUCUCAUCUCCUCCAUAACCGCGAGGUCCCAUGGCUUCCAAACAUGACACUCGCCAUCAUCAAUGUUCUCACAUGUGUAAUAUCUUCUGCCUGGAUCAGAGCGGUUUGUAGCAAGAAUAGGUUGAGCUCCACAGUAGCAGAUUUGUGGGAAACCAAACUCGACUUCGGGUUGAGGAGGAUACUGAUGUGGUUCGGGGAACUCUGAGUGGCCUAGCUCAGCUUGAUCACGCCGAAUGAGAUCCAUCUAAUCACGGGUUGCUUGUGUUCAUUGAUCUUGUGCCACCUCUGCUUCAAGUUGAGAUGACCUCUCUUGUCACCAGUAGCUUUAGCGUGAGGACUUUCAGCAAAGUAUUCUGCAACACGUAACCAGAAAGUCCCUAACUUUUGACCAUUUCCAACUAUGAUAUCUUUAGAAGUGUUAAGCCAUCCACUGAUGAGGACCUCAUCAUCGGCUGGGGUCCAUUUUUUUCUCUCCCUACGUCCCACUGGUGGCUCUUGAGAUUCAGAUGGAGCCUCAUCAUAAUGUUGGCUAGCGAAGGGAGGGAUUUCGGAAUCUCCUAUGUUGAUACUAGAUGGGAAACUCUCAAAGGGAAAGUUUGAAUGGGGAACACUGUCAUUUUGAGAGUUCAAAAGGCCCACAUAGCUAGAGGACUGGCUAUAUGGUGCCCUUGGAUCCAUUUGAAAGAUAACAGAGAGGGGCGAAUUAAAAAGAUUGAAAAUCAGAAGGUUGUUGUAUGAAUGAAGAGUGACAGAAGCCAAGAAAUGGGGUUUUAUAAGUGGGAAAAUGUUACUAGCAAUAAGUUACUAUAUUAAAGACCUAACCAUAAACGAGUAUCCAUCUAAUCACAACUUAUUACACUACCAUCAAAGCCUAGAGGAAAAUUAAAUAUCUUGAUGUUUUC
rnacentral:lncRNA from 1 species